rnacentral:rRNA from 1 species
UACGGAGGGUGCAAGCGUUGUCCGGAUUUAUUGGGUUUAAAGGGUGCGUAUGUGGCCUUAUAAGUCAGUGGUGAAAGCCUGCAGCUUAACUGUAGGACUGCCAUUGAUACUGUAGGGCUUGAGUACUGAUGAGGUAGGCGGAAUUGAUAGUGUAGCGGUGAAAUGCAUAGAUAUUAUCAAGAACACCGAUUGCGAAGGCAGCUUACUAAGGAGUUACUGACACUGAGGCACGAAAGCGUGGGGAUCAAACAGG